GACGAACGCUGGCGGCGUGCUUAACACAUGCAAGUCGAACGGAAAGGCCCUGCUUUUGUGGGGUGCUCGAGUGGCGAACGGGUGAGUAACACGUGAGUAACCUUCCCUUGACUUUGGGAUAACUUCAGGAAACUGGGGCUACUACCGGAUUGGAGCUCCUGCUGCAUGGUGGGGGUUGGAAAGUUUCGGCGGUUGGGGAUGGACUGGCGGCUUAUUAGCUUGUUGGUGGGGUAGUGGCUUACCAAGGCUUUGACGGGUAGCCGGCCUGAGAGGGUGACCGGCCACAUUGGGACUGAGAGACGGCCCAGACUCCUACGGGAGGCAGCAGUGGGGAAUAUUGCACAAUGGGCGGAAGCCUGAUGCAGCAACGCCGCGUGCGGGAUGACGGCCUUCGGGGUGUAAACCGCUUUCGCCUGUGACGAAGCGUGAGUGACGGUAAUGGGUAAAGAAGCACCGGCUAACUACGUG
rnacentral:rRNA from 1 species